AACUAAGAAAAGGACUCGAACCCAUAAUCAUAGAUCCUAAAUCUACCGCAGUAACCUUUUUGCUAUCUUAG
rnacentral:tRNA from 1 species